AUUCAGAAUAAGGAAUUUAAUGAACUAACACAGGACUUUUAUAUUUUUGCUAUAUAUUUGUUGAUUGCUAUGACCAGAAAUGGCUGCCGCCGUACUACAGAGAAACCCUUCAAUAUCGUUUGAUACACUACCAGGAGGCAGGAAGACACGAAAACACAGCUUUGACUAUAAGCAGUCAGAGGCAGAUCCUUAUUCCAGACGACAGUCGAUAAAAUACCACUUCCCAAUACCAUUGCUAGAUGAAACAGAGGUCAACGAGACUGUAGUAAGUGAAGAUGAAAUAAGAAAAAGUGUAUAUGGACUACCCUUAAGUCAGAUGAGUUUUGUAGCUGUUGAAUCGGCAGUAUGGAGACCAACAGUUGCUAGUUGUAGACGUUCUGUGUUAUGGUCACGUGAACGGAAGUUAUAUGAAGCUCAAAGUAGACAACGAAUGGAGGAAUUUAAAGAAAAACCUUACAUGCAACAUCAAUAUCCAGAGCUAAAGAGGCAUUAUCCGGGAACUUGGCGUUUAGCAACAAAACAAGAAAUAAAUGGCAUUGUCGUCAGGUUAACGAAAAAUCCAGCGCCAACUUCCGCCAGCGUUAUGGGUCGUCGUCGAAUUCAAUCAGCUCCGCCUAACUUACCUAUUCUUCAUACACGCAGUGGAAUGACAAAACGACCGACGACAUCAAAUACUAUUUAAAAGGAAACUAUAAGAUUUUUAUAUAUUACAACAAGCACUAAAAAUAAAAAGUGACUUCGAAAAAGACAGCUCGACUCGAUUUGACCUAUGUAUAUAAAUGUUAAUAAACAGAAAGUCAUUGUAAUUAAUUCAUUAACCUUUCAUGAAGAUUGGAAAAACAAAACAUGACUUUGAUCAGCUUUCAGUACGUACUUUGUAAGUCAGUAAGUUAUUUGGUUGAAAUAAAGAGCAAACAUUUGUCUAUCUUCAAUCAUAAAAUAAAUGCAUGUAUAAAGCAAAUACAUAAUUAUUAAAUUCAGAAACACUGCUGUAAACGAUUGUACAUCGACUGAGGCUGAUAGAGUUAUCUCCCAUGUUAUGUAUUUUGAAAUAACACUUGAUUUAUUCUUUAAUAUAUACCUAUGUAACAAUAUUCAAAAUACGCAAUUAACUAUGUUCAUGAUGGGUAAAUAAUUAAUAAUAUACAGUGUCUUGUUUUAAAGACAUCUUCUCUGUUUACACUCAAAAUGUAUCUUAGUGACAGACAUUAUCUCUUAGUAUAUAUAAUAGAACCUGGGACUAAUACGUUGACAUUAUCAAUUAGUCCUAGAUAGAACUAAUUUCCCUAACACACAGAUAUAUAAAAAAAAAGAGGGUACUACAGACUAGAAAUAAUGUUUCGGAACAAUUCUUUUCUGUACUUCUUUAGUUUCGUUCAUGUAAUGGUAAAAUAAAAUUCACCUUCAUCCCUAGAAUUAUAUAUGUAUUUUAAAACUUUUUAGCGCACUAAAAAUGAUAUAAAAUCAUCUAUUCGUCAAGUUAAGUUUAUUUUAUUUUAAGUUCAAAUGUUUUCAAACAUUGUAAGUUUUCCAAAAACAUUUAUGUCAGCUGACCACAUUUGUUUUCAGUUCUGUUUUUAUUUUAUAUUAACUUUGUGUUGCUUACUCGAAAAGAGUGUAGCACAUUGAUAAUAGAGGCGUAUUUUUAAAAACCAAACCAAACAUAUUAUGUAAAUAAAUACUCUUGAAACACAUCACUCUUUUGAAUGACAUUAUAUUUGCGUUUGAGUGUCAGACCUAUUCAUGUGUAACGGAUUGUAAAUUUUAAAUGUAACUUUGUGCAUGUGUACAUUUAUAAUUUGAUAUCGUUUGCUUCAGAAAAUAAAUGUUCGACUAGCCAG